rnacentral:rRNA from 1 species
GACGAACGCUGGCGGCGUGCUUAACACAUGCAAGUCGAACGGAAAGGCCCUGCUUUUGUGGGGUGCUCGAGUGGCGAACAGGUGAGUAACACGUGGGUAACCUGCCCUUGACUUUGGGAUAACUUCAGGAAACUGGGGCUAAUACCGGAUAGGAGCUCCUGCUGCAUGGUGGGGGUUGGAAAGUUUCGGCGGUUGGGGAUGGACUCGCGGCUUAUCAGCUUGUUGGUGGGGUAGUGGCUUACCAAGGCUUUGACGGGUAGCCGGCCUGAGAGGGUGACCGGCCACAUUGGGACUGAGAUACGGCCCAGACUCCUACGGGAGGCAGCAGUGGGGAAUAUUGCACAAUGGGCGGAAGCCUGAUGCAGCAACGCCGCGUGCGGGAUGACGGCCUUCGGGUUGUAAACCGCUUUCGCCUGUGACGAAGCGUGAGUGACGGUAAUGGGUAAAGAAGCACCGGCUAACUACGUG